GACGAACGCUGGCGGCGCGCUUAACACAUGCAAGUCGAGCGAAGCGGCGGACGGGUGAGUAACACGUGAGUACCCUGCCUUAGACAUUGGGAUAGCCUCGGGAAACCGGGAGUAAUACCAAAUGGGCGAAGAUGGACUCGAGGCCCAUUAGCUAGUUGGUGGGUAACGGCCCACCAAGGCGACGAUGGGUAGCCGGCCUGACAUGGUGACCGACCACAUUGGAACUGAGAACCGGUCCAAGCUCUACGAGAGGCAGCAGUGGUGAAUAUUGCACACUGGAGGGUACUCUGCUGCAGCGACACCGCGUGAACGAAGAAGGCUUUCGAGUCGUAAAGUUCUUUUAUAUGGGAAGCGGUACCAUAAGAAAAAGCCCCGGCUAACUACGUGCCAGCAGCCGCGGUAAUAC
rnacentral:rRNA from 1 species